rnacentral:lncRNA from 1 species
AUGCAUAGGAGCUCCUCACAUCCAAUUCACCAGGAAGCCCUGAGGACACGGACCGGGAUCCAGAGCCGAAAUCCAAUUAAGCGGGACUGGGGCUGUGGCUGCCUCUCUGUCCACUUCCUGGUCAGUUCUGCUGAGUGGAGAGAGAUGGGGGCCCCCGAGACCUGUGCCGCGGGACGCUGGGACUGGAACUGGGGCUGUGUCCGCCUCCACGUGUGGGGAUAUCACGGAGAGACAGUGCCUGGCCCAGCCCAAGGAGCCCCUCCUGUCCCCACAGCUCACAGCCCGUGCACCAGGACCGGUGGCAGAGCAGACCCACCCGUGGACAAGCUGGGAGCCCCGGGCCCUGGUGAGGCGUGAGGGCUCUGCCCAGCCGUCUGAGGCUGGUUGUGCAAAGCAGGUGGAGCCUGUGGGGGUGGAGCAGCAGGUGUCCUGGUCUAACCUCUGCUGGGGAAGACCUCAGGCCCCUGGGAACUGCCUGCAGGGCCAGGCACAGCCGCAGCCAGGGCAUCCCCGCAGGGUCAAGGGGGCACACGGGGCCCCAUGGCCUCCUGCUGGGCUGUGGAGUGCCCAGUGCUGAAGCCACGGUCAGGGUGGAGCCAGGCGGGGAUUCUGAAAGGCAGCCCACAAACUCCCAGGCUUUGGUUCAGUUACAGAAGGCAGGACAUGUCCUUUCUCGUGGAAAGAUUGUGGAUAAGGGAGAUUUCUAAAAGUUUAUUUAUUUGAAAGGUUCAGCAACAGGAUGGGGGAAGGAAGUAAGAAGGGAAGGAGAGAGAAGGAGGACAAGAGAGCGAGAGCGAGAGCGAGAUCUUCCGUUCACGGAUUUAUUCUCCAAAGGCCUGAAGCACCUGAGACUGACCGGGUCAAAACCAGGGCUCCAGCACAGGUGGCAGGGACCCGAGGACUUGGGCCACCAUUUGCUAAGGUAGAUUGUAAACGUUUGCUUGUUUUCAUUUUAUUUGAAAGGCAAAGAGACUGAGACAGAGAGAGAACUUCCAUCCGCUGCUUCACUCUCCAAAUGCCUGCAACAACUGGGGCGGCUAAGCUGAAGCCAGGAGCCAGAAACUCAGCCUGGGGCUCCUGUGUGGGAGUACCCGAGUACCUGAGCACUCCCACGUGGGAUCACCCGAGUACCCGAGUACUCCCACGUGGGAGUGCCUGAUGCCCGAGUACUCCCAUGUGGGACUGCCUGAGUACCCGAGUACUCCCACGUGGGCGUGCCUGAUGCCCGAGCACUCCCAUGUGGGAGUGCCUGAGUACCCGAGUACCCCCAUGUGGGAUCACCCGAGUACCCGAGUACCCCCAUGUGGGAUCACCCAAGUACCUAAGUACUCCCAUGUGGGAGUGCCUGAUGCCUGAG